AUUCAGAGAUGGAUUUGUGCCUUCGGGAACUGUGAGACAGGUGCUGCAUGGCUGUCGUCAGCUCGUGUUGUGAAAUGUUGGGUUAAGUCCCGCAACGAGCGCAACCCUUAUCCUUUGUUGCCAGCGGUCCGGCCGGGAACUCAAAGGAGACUGCCAGUGAUAAACUGGAGGAAGGUGGGGAUGACGUCAAGUCAUCAUGGCCCUUACGACCAGGGCUACACACGUGCUACAAUGGCGCAUACAAAGAGAAGCGACCUCGCGAGAGCAAGCGGACCUCAUAAAGUGCGUCGUAGUCCGGAUUGGAGUCUGCAACUCGACUCCAUGAAGUCGGAAUCGCUAGUAAUCGUGGAUCAGAAUGCCACGGUGAAUACGUUCCCGGGCCUUGUACACACCGCCCGUCACACCAUGGGAGUGGGUUGCAAAAGAAGUAGGUAGCUUAACCUUCGGGAGGGCGCUUACCACUUUGUGAUUCAUGACUGGGGUGAAGUCGUAACAAGGUAACCGUAGGGGAACCUGCGGUUGGAUCACCUCCUUACCUUAAAGAAGC
rnacentral:rRNA from 1 species